rnacentral:rRNA from 1 species
UACGUAGGGCGCGAGCGUUGUCCGGAAUCAUUGGGCGUAAAGAGCUCGUAGGCGGCCGGUUGCGUCUGCUGUGAAAUCCCGGGGCUUAACCCCGGGCGUGCAGUGGAUACGGGCUGGCUGGAGGCAGGCAGGGGGGAAUGGAAUUCCCGGUGUAGCGGUGAAAUGCGCAGAUAUCGGGAGGAACACCGGUGGCGAAGGCGGUUCUCUGGGCCUGUGCUGACGCUGAGGCGCGAAAGCCAGGGGAGCAAACGGG